rnacentral:rRNA from 1 species
CAGUCGCCGCGGGAAUACCGAGGAUGCAAGCGUUAUCCGGAAUGAUUGGGCGUAAAGGGCUCGCAGGCGGUUUCUUAAGUCUGAUGUGAAGGCCCCCGGCUCAACCGGGGAGGGUCAUUGGAAACUGGGAAACUUGAGUGCAGAAGAGGAGAGUGGAAUUCCACGUGUAGCGGUGAAAUGCGUUGAGAUCGGAAAGAACACCAACGGCGAAAGCACUCUGCUGGGCCGACACUGACACUGAGAGACGAAAGCUAGGGGAGCAAAUGGGAUUAGAUACCCCAGUAGUCCCUGUCUCUUAUAU